CAGCCUGACGGUGGCCAGUCCAACCACAUCUGCGCAGCACCCGCAGACGUGUCUGGGACUCGACUGCUACGGACGCCAUGAGGGGAUUUACUAACACGGAUACCACGAGUGGUAACUUGGACGAGCGCUCUUUGAACUAGCUUCAGCAUUAGCAUUGAUUAGGAAAUGUUGGCGGUGGUGCCUUUGCUUGUCACAGUAGCUACGCAUUACGAAAAAGUAGCGAGAGAUUAACUUACAAAGGAUUUUUCCGAGCCGUCGUCACUGCUAGUGUGUCAUGUGUUGGCUUGAGGCUGGAAAAUGGCGUAGAUGCGUUCGACGUGUUGCGGAAGGAAAAUAUGACUGCUUUUGCCUCGUGUUCUGUACGAAACAGCAGUUCUACAGGGAGUCGAGCUGUAAGGACGAACGACUCACGGUAUCACUACUGCGAUAGAUGUGAAGGUUGUCGCAUCCACGUCGAUGGAGGUCAGGAAGGCGUGUCAACGAAUGCAAAUUAUCACCGGUGACGCAGUACUCUGGGAAAUGCGACACCGUUCACCAAAGCGAGGAUUACGUUUUUGAAGUACCAGCACUGGGUCGCAAGCUGACGGCCUCGCUGCAUCGACGCUAAAGAAGAUUGUUUGCCGAGCCAGCCUACUGUAUCGGCAUCGCGGAAACAUUUAAGGGCGUUGCCAAUGGCGCGAAGAAUGCCGGCCGUCUUCUCGUACUGUCGCAAGCAUUCGGAACUUGUCAAUAGGAAAUGAUAGUCCGUCGUGUG
rnacentral:lncRNA from 1 species